GAAAUGCGAUAAGUAAUGUGAAUUGCAGAAUUCCGUGAAUCAUCGAAUCUUUGAACGCACAUUGCGCCCUCUGGCAUUCCGGGGGGCAUGCCUGUCCGAGCGUCAUUACGCACCCUCAAGCCCGGCUUGUGUGAUGGGCCCCGGCGUCUCGUUCGCGAGACGGGCCAGAAAGGCAGCGGCGGCGUCGACCCGAUGAGCCCGAGUGUAUGGGGACUUCUGUCACACGUUCGCGGUGCGGACCGGCGCCUGCUUUGACUUUUCUGAUUAUCCAGGUUGACCUCGGAUCAGGUAGGGAUACCCGCUGAACUUAAGC
rnacentral:misc_RNA from 1 species